GUGGGGAAUAUUGGACAAUGGGCGAAAGCCUGAUCCAGCCAUGCCGCGUGUGUGAAGAAGGUCUUCGGAUUGUAAAGCACUUUAAGUUGGGAGGAAGGGCAGUAAGUUAAUACCUUGCUGUUUUGACGUUACCGACAGAAUAAGCACCGGCUAACUUCGUGCCAGCAGCCGCGGUAAUACGAAGGGUGCAAGCGUUAAUCGGAAUUACUGGGCGUAAAGCGCGCGUAGGUGGUUUUGUAAGUUGGAGGUGAAAUCCCCGGGCUCAACCUGGGAACUGCCUCCAAAACUGCAGGACUAGAGUACGGUAGAGGGUAGUGGAAUUUCCUGUGUAGCGGUGAAAUGCGUAGAUAUAGGAAGGAACACCAGUGGCGAAGGCGACUACCUGGACUGAUACUGACACUGAGGUGCGAAAGCGUGGGGAGCAAACAGGAUUAGAAACCCGGGUAGUCC
rnacentral:rRNA from 1 species